GCACACAUGAUUAAAUUACGGGACUUUUCCGAGUUUCAGAGGUGUCCAAUAGAUGGCACGCGUCUUCAUUUUUCAUGUGAUGGCGGAUUGUGAUGGCGGGUUGUCAAAAAUUUUCCUAUUUUUCCACGAAAACUACCGAUAAUUCAUAGUCAUAACCUGUAGGAAGGAAUGCGAAAGAAAACAAUGGCCUACAUGAAAUCCACCAUCAACUCUUUCAUAAAAAAUCGUCAUUCUGCUGAAUGCAUCAUCCAAUUAAUACAGUAACCCAGCGGCCAGCGUGGACAUACAUUGUUUUUUCCGAACAUGUUUUUCAACAAAUAAAGCAUUGACAGACAAGAAAAGCUAUGGAAAACAUAAUGUAGGACAUGAGUAAUCUUCAGACAGCUACUUAGAAGAAGUCACGUGAAAAGAUGCAGGGCAGGGCACUUACCAACAUAUGUUCUAAACUGCUGCUGCUGCCUACAGCCACGGGCAGGAAAAUUGCUCUCUUUCUUCAGACAACUGAAAGGCUGCUGCAGUCAUCUAGUCUUCGUCCUCCCUCGACUCAUUUCGUCUUCUGGAUAGCUUAGUAAAGCUGACUGGUGUUAUCAAUCCAUUUAGAUAACGACCUAGAGGAUGCGGCCUACAGACUGUGAACAUCAGAUGGGAUCAGACGUCAGCAUCUUUACGAAAUGGUGGUGACGUGACUCCACGGGUGACAUCAAACAUGUUCUACGUGGAUCAUCAUUUAUUGUUGUUGGUAAUAUGUUUUCGUUAGUUAACUCGUUGGCUGCCACGUCUUUGUUCCCCCAUGUUAGCUCUGUAGCACGGGCCGCGCUGUUCGGUCUCGUGGUUUAUAUGCCGCGGGGUCGGACAGUCGCACCAGCCCCAGAUUUGGCCGAAAGGCCCCGUUAGGCAAUGCACCAU